rnacentral:rRNA from 1 species
GCCAGACUCCUACGGGAGGCAGCAGUGGGGAAUAUUGCACAAUGGGGGGAACCCUGAUGCAGCGACGCCGCGUGGGUGAAGAAGUCAUUCGUGACGUAAAGCCCUAUCAGCAGGGAAGAAAAUGACGGUACCUGACUAAGAAGCCCCGGCUAACUACGUGCCAGCAGCCGCGGUAAUACGUAGGGGGCAAGCGUUAUCCGGAUUUACUGGGUGUAAAGGGAGCGUAGACGGCAUGGCAAGUCUGAUGUGAAAACCUGGGGCUCAACCCCGGGACUGCAUUGGAAACUGUCAGGCUAGAGUGUCGGAGAGGCAAGUGGAAUUCCUAGUGUAGCGGUGAAAUGCGUAGAUAUUAGGAGGAACACCAGUGGCGAAGGCGGCUUGCUGGACGAUGACUGACGUUGAGGCUCGAAAGCGUGGGGAGCAAACAGGAUUAGAUACCCUUGUA